AGUCGAGGGGUAUAUGUCUUCGGAUAUAGAGACCGGCGCACGGGUGCGUAACGCGUAUGCAAUCUACCUUUUACAGAGGGAUAGCCCAGAGAAAUUUGGAUUAAUACCUCAUAGUAUAGCUCUACCGCAUGGUAGUACUAUUAAAGUCACAACGGUAAAAGAUGAGCAUGCGUCCCAUUAGCUAGUUGGUAAGGUAACGGCUUACCAAGGCAACGAUGGGUAGGGGUCCUGAGAGGGAGAUCCCCCACACUGGUACUGAGACACGGACCAGACUCCUACGGGAGGCAGCAGUGAGGAAUAUUGGACAAUGGGCGCAAGCCUGAUCCAGCCAUGCCGCGUGCAGGAUGACGGUCCUAUGGAUUGUAAACUGCUUUUGUACGAGAAGAAACACUGCUUCGUGAAGCAGCUUGACCGGGUAUCGUAAGAAUAAGGAUCGGCUAACUCCGUGCCAGCAGCCGCGGUAAUACGGAGGAUCCAAGCGUUAUCCGGAAUCAUUGGGUUUAAAGGGUCCGUAGCGUUAGUAAGUCAGUGGUGAAAGCCCAUCGCUCAACGGUGGACGCCAUUGAUACUGCUGAACUUGAAUUAUUAGGAAGUAACUAGAAUAUGUAGUGUAGCGGUGAGAUGCUUACGAGAUUACAUGGAUACCAAUUGCGAAG
rnacentral:rRNA from 1 species